rnacentral:rRNA from 1 species
CCUACGGGGCGCAGCAGUGAGGAAUAUUGGUCAAUGCCCGGAAGGCUGAACCAGCCACGCCGCGUGAAGGUCAGUGCCCUAUGGGCGUUAAACUUCUUUUGUGCGGGAGCAAUAAGGGUCACGUGUGGCCAGACGAGAGUACCGUACGAAUAAGCAUCGGCUAACUCCGUGCCAGCAGCCGCGGUAAUACGGGGGAUGCAAGCGUUAUCCUGUUUUGUUGGGUUUAAAGGGUGCGUAGGCUGGGAGGUAAGUGAGCGGGGAAAUGCCCCGGCUCAACGGGGUGAAGUGCCAUUGAUACUGCCUUGCUGGAAUGCGAAUGCCGUGGGAAGAAUGUGUGGUGUAGCGGUGAAAUGCAUAGAUAUCACACAGAACACCGAUUGCGAAGGCAUCUCAUGAAUCCGCGAUUGACGCUGAUGCACGAAAGCGUGGGUAUCAAACAGGAUUAGAUACCCCUGUAGUC